GUUUACUGUAUAUAGUGUAUCACAAAACAUUCAUAUCGAACAUAUUCAAGUGUUAUUUUGAAACAUUUUGAUAUAUUUUCAUGUCUUUUAACUUAAACAUACCAAAUAACAUAGUUGUGAAUGUUUUUUUGAUAAUGGCCCUUACACCAAUGUCCAAGGAUAGGAGGAGGGUCGGGAUCCCGCUAACAUGUUAAACCCCACAAC
rnacentral:lncRNA from 1 species